UACGUAGGAGACGAGCGUUGUCCGGAAUCACUGGGCGUAAAGCGCGUGUAGGCGGAUCGGCAAGUCUGCUGUGAAAGCGCCUGGCUUAACCGGGCGAGGUCGGCGGAAACUGUCCGACUCGAGGACGGUAGAGGGGGGUGGAAUUCCCGGUGUAGUGGUGAAAUGCGUAGAUAUCUGCAGGAACACCCGUGGCGAAGGCGGCUGACUGGAUCGCAACUGACGCUGAGGAACGAAAGCUAGGGGAGCAAACAGG
rnacentral:rRNA from 1 species